ensembl:lncRNA
GAACCAGUGAGCUAGGCUGGGAGAGCCCGACUCCGUGCACACACACAGCAGGAUAUGUCUCCCAGAGCUUCCUUUUCCAAGUCGGGACUGGGAAGGACACAGAAUCAUCAGGAGAUGAUGCUGGUGUCAUUGCACUCCAACCAGCCAGGGAGAGGAGAUGUGAGUAACCGAGUCCAAGCCUGGAUUUCUGAGGCUGAAACUGACAGCGAUCUGUGCCCGGAAGCCAGGCACGACGGCAGCCAGGACGUGUGCAAGGGAGAGCUCGUGGCCCUCGGCCUCUGCAGGGACACAGCCGAGACGCAGGUCCCACAGGUAAAAGGUGAAGACUUGGAACAGAGAAGCAGCUGGAAUACUGUGAGCAAGAAACAAAAAAAUCCACAGGAAUUGUGGGAUGUAGAAGAGCAAAGAAGAAGGAAGAGGAAAAGACAGAGGAAUCCUAGAAAUCCUGAGGCAGGUGGCCUGGGAGAAACUCCACAAAAAGCUGGGUGAAGGAUAUUGAACAAUAAGAAUGUCCAAUCAUCAGAAGAACAGUUAUUUUAUGCAAAGCAUCAGCAUCAGAUAUACAAAUUGCCAAUAUUUACUAGGUUUAUAAGUGCUAGAUUUGGGGGAAAGAGAGAUCAAUACUAGUUCCUCUCUAAAAUAUAUCUCUUAGAUACUACAAUUGAGUUCUUUUUGCCUUGUCUGCAGUGGACAUUUGGUUACACUGAGCUCUAAGGAGCAACCCCAAUUUUUUUGUCAAAUUCAAAUUUAUCUUGAUCAUAUAUUCUUUUAGAAUAUUUAUAAGCCAGAACUUGAAUAUAUCUUGUGCUGUGCAAACACUGUCCGAAUUGUUCGAUCUGUGUCUGUGUGUUUGGACUGGUCAAAUCUGACCCUUCAGAUUGUAAAGCCUUUAGGAGUAACUCUAAAAUAUAAAUAUUUCUGUAGCCCCUGCAUUUGUCACAAGAAAAUUAUUAUUGAUUAUGAUCGUGAUGUUUGAAUCCUGAAGUCUGUGUACAAAAGUAAAAUAUUUAUACACGUUAAUACAACUCCAGUCGGCUUCCCCCUAUCUGUUUCUUUCACUUGUGUCUUCGCUUCAUUUGGUACUGUCAAUCAAUCACUUAUUGAAUGACGCUUCUUCAUGGGCUGCCAUUAUAUUAAGUUCUUGGCUCUCCUCCUAGCUCCCUGCUUCCUCAUUGCCCCCAGGUAUCUUUGGCUUUCUCUCACCUCUUAAUUUUGAAUAUUACACAUCAGUCUUUCUGAAGCUUUCCUUUUCCUUGCUCCCAUUAUCACCUCUAACCUAAUGCUCCUAUUUCACAUUUCCAAAUUUUACUUAGCUUUGAUCCUAUAGUUUCUAGUCCUCCAGGAUGUCUCCUCUAAAACAUUCUGCCAUCAUUGCUAAUUCAGUUUGGUCCAAAGCCUUCUCUCACUAUCAGCAUCAAUACCAUUACUAUUGUCUUUCAAUCCUACAAAGGAAACUUUGAUGAUAGCUUUGAAUUAUUCUUUCUGAUUC